rnacentral:rRNA from 1 species
AGAGUUUGAUCAUGGCUCAGGACGAACGCUGGCGGCGUGCUUAACACAUGCAAGUUGAACGGGACGGAUAUUGAAGCGACUUUUCGGAGUGGUGGAUAUAUUUGUUUAGUAGCGGACGGGUGAGUAAUGCAUGAGAACCUGCCCUUCAGAGGGGGACAACAGUUGGAAACGGCUGCUAAUACCCCAUAUGCCGAGAGGUGAAAGGAGCGAUCCGCUGAAGGAGAGGCUCAUGUCCUAUCAGCUAGUUGGUGAGGUAAGUGCUCACCAAGGCGAUGACGGGUAGCCGGCCUGAGAGGGCGACCGGCCACACUGGAACUGAGAUACGGUCCAGACUCCUACGGGAGGCAGCAGUGGGGAAUAUUGGGCAAUGGGCGGAAGCCUGACCCAGCGACGCCGCGUGAGGGAAGAAGGCCUUUGGGUCGUAAACCUCUGUUGUAUGGGAAGAAGGAAGUGACGGUACCAUACGAGGAAGUCCCGGCUAACUACGUGCCAGCCGCCGCGGUAAUUC